rnacentral:rRNA from 1 species
UACAGAGGUCCCAAGCGUUGUUCGGAUUCAUUGGGCGUAAAGGGUGCGUAGGCGGCGGGGUUAGUCAGGUGUGAAAUCCCGGAGCUCAACUCCGGAACUGCACUUGAUACUGCCUUGCUAGAGUACUGGAGAGGAGACUGGAAUUUACGGUGUAGCAGUGAAAUGCGUAGAUAUCGUAAGGAAGACCAGUGGCGAAGGCGAGUCUCUGGACAGUUACUGACGCUGAGGCACGAAGGCCAGGGGAGCAAACGGG